CGCGGUAAUACGUAGGGGGCAAGCGUUGUCCGGAAUUAUUGGGCGUAAAGCGCGCGCAGGCGGUCUUUUAAGUCUGGUGUUUAAGCCCGGGGCUCAACCCCGGUUCGCACCGGAAACUGGAAGACUUGAGUGCAGGAGAGGAAAGCGGAAUUCCACGUGUAGCGGUGAAAUGCGUAGAGAUGUGGAGGAACACCAGUGGCGAAGGCGGCUUUCUGGACUGUAACUGACGCUGAGGCGCGAAAGCGUGGGGAGCAAACAGGAUUAGAUACCCUGGUAGUCCACGCCGUAAACGAUGAGUGCUAGGUGUUAGGGGUUUCGAUACCCUUGGUGCCGAAGUAAACACAAUAAGCACUCCGCCUG
rnacentral:rRNA from 2 species